rnacentral:snRNA from 1 species
GGAUGUGAGGGCAAUCUGGUUGUGACAUCUGUCACCCCAUUGAUCGCCAGGGUUGAUUAGGCUGAUCUGGCUGGCUAGGCGGGUGUCCCCUUCCUCCCUCACCGCUCCAUGUGCAUCCUUCCCGAAGCUAUGUGCUUGGUUGAAGAGUACAACAUUCCUUGAUAGAGGAGAGGACCGUUCUUUGGUCAAGGAUAUACGAGUAGCUGCACUCCUCUGCUAGAACCUCCAAACAAGCUCUCAAGACUAGAAAAAUUGUUUGUAGAACCUCCAAACAAGCUCUCAAGACUAGAAAAAUAAGGAGCAUAUGGGACACUAGUAAGGGUCCAAAUAU